GGGUGCGGGCUUAUCAGAAAUGGAGGUGUACGAAGAAACUGUCCCAAGCCAUAGCAAAGUCGUGGGUGUGAAGAACUUAAUAUUGGGGGGUGCGCGAGAAAAGCCACGCAGACACAAUUUUAAUACACAGGGGGGUGAAAAUGUCAAAAAUGGGGGUGCAAGGAGUGAAGUGGGCUGAGACUUGAAUGUGAUUAAUCUAAACCCUAGCAGCUCACGAACCAAACGCCAAACCCUCUCUCUCGACGGCACCAAGACCACGCCAGCGAGUGCCGCUGCCUGCCAACCUACCGCCCUCACCUCUGCUCCGCCACGCCGCCCCGCGACUGGUUGCCGGCGACGCUAAUCGACGCCGGAGGGUCGUCCUCCCUCUCGGCGGCUCAACCACCUUGCUUUCACUCAUGCACCGGAACGCAACUCCAAGAGAUCAACGCCGACGCAGCGCCUGCAACCCACCGUGAACGCCGCCACCGCCGCGACCGACGCGCGUCGCCUACGGCGCCCAUUUCCCCUUCUGCGCGAGGAUUUCUUCCCGGUCGAAGCUCCGCGCGUUCAUCCGCUGCCAGCCCGUCGCGAUCGCUUCGCGUCGCACCGCCUUGCCGCCACCGUCGAGGGAAACGUCGGCGCCGCUGAUGCGAACAGGGGGUGCGUCCUCUCCUCUAAUCUGCGAGGUCGAACAGAGGCCCACGGCGAUAAUGUUGGUGAGCGAAACUAGAGCCGCUGUCGUUAAAGCUCCGACUCGCCGGCGGCGUGUGAUCGGGGAAGAUUAAGACGGGGGUCUUUGGUGCUAUUACGGAUUUCGGUCUGGUGUGAUGUUGAGUCGCAGAGAUGGGGUUGUAACAAAGGUGGGAGACAAAGAUGAUGGCAAGUGAGUAAGCGGGUGAAGACGCGCUCUACAAAACCGUUUGUGAAGUAUGUUUGGGGUUCUGGUUUGGACCUCCUGCAGGUGGAUGAAUGAAGCACGAGCUUUUUGGUGUGUUGAUGAUGGGUGAGGGGGAUAGAGUUUGGGUUGCCGUUUUGGUUUGAUUGGUUGCGAGAAGAGAAGGAUGAAUUGGGGGUUAGAUGAUGGGUUGAGGAGCUUGUUCGUUGGCUAUGACUGGCUAUGUGCUGAUGAGUGGUGCUUACCUCUUGUAGUCUCCCUGUGUUUGUAAGGUGUGAUCAAUGGAGGCUCCCCUGUUCUCGUUCUUCCUUUCAGAUGAUUCCUUUCAGAUGCAAGGGUGCUCUCUUCUUUUUUGUUAUCUGUUAUGAAAUGCGAAACUGUGUAUCCUCCCCCAGUUGCUCUCUUGCCCCUUGUGAUAUUGUAUCCUCCCUUCUUUUCAGAAUGGUUUGACCGUUCUUCUUAC